UGGAAAGUAAAAGUCGUAACAAGGUUU
rnacentral:rRNA from 1 species